rnacentral:rRNA from 1 species
CGUUGUCCGGAAUUAUUGGGCUUACAGAGCUCGUAGGCGGUCUGUCGCGUCGGAUGUGAAAAUCCAGGGCUCAACCCUGGACCUGCAUUCGAUACGGGCAGACUAGAGUUCGGUAGGGGAGACUGGAAUUCCUGGUGUAGCGGUGAAAUGCGCAGAUAUCAGGAGGAACACCUAUUGCGAAGGCAGCUCGCUGGGACGUAACUGACGCUGAGACGCGAAAGCGUGGGGAGCAAACAGG